ensembl:misc_RNA Metazoa_SRP Metazoan signal recognition particle RNA
GCUGGGCGUGGUGGUGCACACCUGCAGUCCCAUCUACUCGGGAGGCUGAGGCGGGAGGAUCGCUUGAGGCCAGGAGUUCAAGGCUGUAGUGCGCUAUGAUCGUGCCUGUGAAUAGCCACUGCACUGCAGCCUGGGCAACACAGCGAGACUGUCUCUU